rnacentral:rRNA from 1 species
AGAGUUUGAUCCUGGCUCAGGACGAACGCUGGCGGCGCGCCUAACACAUGCAAGUCGAACGAGCGAGAGAGAGCUUGCUUUCUUGAGCGAGUGGCGAACGGGUGAGUAACGCGUGAGGAACCUGCCUCAAAGAGGGGGACAACAGUUGGAAACGACUGCUAAUACCGCAUAAGCCCACGACCCGGCAUCGGGUAGAGGGAAAAGGAGCAAUCCGCUUUGAGAUGGCCUCGCGUCCGAUUAGCUAGUUGGUGAGGUAAUGGCCCACCAAGGCGACGAUCGGUAGCCGGACUGAGAGGUUGAACGGCCACAUUGGGACUGAGACACGGCCCAGACUCCUACGGGAGGCAGCAGUGGGGAAUAUUGCACAAUGGGGGAAACCCUGAUGCAGCGACGCCGCGUGGAGGAAGAAGGUCUUCGGAUUGUAAACUCCUGUUGUUGAGGAAGAUAAUGACGGUACUCAACAAGGAAGUGACGGCUAACUACGUGCCAGCAGCCGCGGUAAAACGUAGGUCACAAGCGUUGUCCGGAAUUACUGGGUGUAAAGGGAGCGCAGGCGGGAAGGCAAGUUGGAAGUGAAAUCCAUGGGCUCAACCCAUGAACUGCUUUCAAAACUGUUUUUCUUGAGUAGUGCAGAGGUAGGCGGAAUUCCCGGUGUAGCGGUGGAAUGCGUAGAUAUCGGGAGGAACACCAGUGGCGAAGGCGGCCUACUGGGCACCAACUGACGCUGAGGCUCGAAAGUGUGGGUAGCAAACAGGAUUAGAUACCCUGGUAGUCCACACUGUAAACGAUGAUUACUAGGUGUUGGAGGAUUGACCCCUUCAGUGCCGCAGUUAACACAAUAAGUAAUCCACCUGGGGAGUACGACCGCAAGGUUGAAACUCAAAGGAAUUGACGGGGGCCCGCACAAGCAGUGGAGUAUGUGGUUUAAUUCGACGCAACGCGAAGAACCUUACCAAGUCUUGACAUCCUGCGACGGUGCUGGAAACAGUACUUUCCUUCGGGACGCAGAGACAGGUGGUGCAUGGUUGUCGUCAGCUCGUGUCGUGAGAUGUUGGGUUAAGUCCCGCAACGAGCGCAACCCUUAUGGUCAGUUACUACGCAAGAGGACUCUGGCCAGACUGCCGUUGACAAAACGGAGGAAGGUGGGGAUGACGUCAAAUCAUCAUGCCCUUUAUGACUUGGGCUACACACGUACUACAAUGGCGUUAAACAAAGAG